rnacentral:rRNA from 1 species
AACGUAGGAGGCGAGCGUUAUCCGGAGUUACUGGGCGUAAAGAGCGUGUAGGCGGGUAUGCAAGUUUGGCGUGAAAGCUCCCGGCUAAACUGGGAGAGUGCGCUGAAGACUGCGUAUCUAGAGGCGAGUAGAGGGACGUGGAAUUCCGGGUGUAGUGGUGAAAUGCGUAGAGAUCCGGAGGAACACCAGUGGCGAAGGCGACGUCCUGGGCUUGACCUGACGCUGAGGCGCGAAAGCUAGGGGAGCAAACGGG